rnacentral:rRNA from 1 species
GACGAAGGAUGCAAGCGUUAUCCGGAUUCAUUGGGUUUAAAGGGUGCGUAGGCGGCCCGGUAAGUCAGUGGUGAAAGCCUGUUGCUUAACAACAGAACUGCCAUUGAUACUGCUGGGCUUGAGUACAGAUGCUGUGGGCGGAAUAUGACAUGUAGUGGUGAAAUACAUAGAGAUGUCAUAGAACACCGAUUGCGAAGGCAGCUCACAAAAACUGUAACUGACGCUGAGGCACGAAAGUGCGGGGAUCAAACAGG